rnacentral:rRNA from 1 species
CGAACGCUGGCGGCGUGCCUAAUACAUGCAAGUUGAGCGCUGAAGGUUGGUACUUGUACCGCCUGGAUGAGCAGCGAACGGGUGAGUAACGCGUGGGGAAUCUGCCUUUGAGCGGGGGACAACAUUUGGAAACGAAUGCUAAUACCGCAUAAAAACUUUAAACACAAGUUUUAAGUUUGAAAGAUGCAAUUGCAUCACUCAAAGAUGAUCCCGCGUUGUAUUAGCUAGUUGGUGAGGUAAAGGCUCACCAAGGCGAUGAUACAUAGCCGACCUGAGAGGGUGAUCGGCCACAUUGGGACUGAGACACGGCCCAAACUCCUACGGGAGGCAGCAGUAGGGAAUCUUCGGCAAUGGACGAAAGUCUGACCGAGCAACGCCGCGUGAGUGAAGAAGGUUUUCGGAUCGUAAAACUCUGUUGGUAGAGAAGAACGUUGGUGAGAGUGGAAAGCUCAUCAAGUGACGGUAACUACCCAGAAAGGGACGGCUAACUACGUG